rnacentral:pre_miRNA from 14 species
AUCUCAGCACAGGUAAUGGUGUCUCCCAUGAUCAGGGUAGGCUCUGAAAGAUCCCCGAAGGGAGAUCCUUACUCAAGUCUCGGGAAAUUGCGGACCCCAGACACAGAGAGACCA